ensembl:lncRNA
AGCAUGGGAUUCUAGUUAUGAACACAUGCUCUUAGUGUCCAGCUGUCUGAGCUUACAUUGUACUUCCACAGAUGAAAGUUUUUAGGCUAAGCCCGUGUGGAAGGUGUGGUUUGAAGAGAAAUGCAGAGCCUGUGAAAGCCUUUGAUCACCUGUGAAUGAUGAAGCUCUGGCCUCAGGGAGACGUUUCCUAUCUGGCUGAACAUGAUGCUUCUUUUUAUUCCUGUCCUCAGUGCGAAUCUUCCUACUUCAGCCUCAUGAUCAAGAUGAAGACUUGUUUUGUCAAGUUAGGAAAGAUCCUUCCGUCCCUAAUUUUGAGGGUUUUAAUAAACCGAUGGCUACUGGAAAGACUGCAUGGACCCAGAAAGAAUGUGUGGAUUUCUCUUCUUCAUACUGGAUGGACUGGAUUUGAGGCAGAAAUAUACGCUGCUCCUGACUCACCCAGGGCAGCUCCACAUUUCCCAACCCCAUUUAAAUGAGCGAGAGAAAUAUCACCAGUUUUGCUAGUGGGAUAAAAUUGGAAACAGAAGGAGGUCACUGUCAUGUGCAUUUCAACUGUCUUAGGGGGUUUUCUUUUUCUUUGCAUUUAGCUCCUGGGAUAUUUGGGUUGUUUAUGCCCCCAGGGCAUGACUCCCCCAUUCUGUCUAAACAGCUUUACCCAAAUUUCUUCAUCUCCCACAGCUAGUUGAGCAUGAGUAUUUUUAAAACUAUGUUCUCAAGUGGCCUUAUCAAACAUUUUCUCCAUCCUCAGUGUCACUGCUCUAGGUUCCAGAAAGUACAAGAAUCUCUGUGUCCCCAAAGCAUCUGGUCCUCAAUGCUACUGAAAAAUGCCCACAUAUCACAGGGUAGGGAUUCCGCUGCCAUGAUCCUCAGAAAUGUACUCAUAUGACCCAAGCCGCCAUUUCAUGCUUAUCCCUCUUUGCUUAUCAGACGACAGCAAUCGAAGUUACUCUGACAGUAGGGGAAGAUAAGGGAAUAUAUAUUUGUGUUUGUGUGUGUGUGUGUAGAGGUAGUAGUUGCAGGGGAUUUUGAACAUAUGGCUCUAAUCUCUGACUGGAAAGUUGGGAGGGUUUGUGUAGUGUAGGAAAGGAAAAGCAACUGUUUGGUAAGUAGAACUUUGACAAGAGUGGGAUUAGCAAGGAUCCCCCCAGUCUACCAGAACCCAAAGUUAUCUAUGGUGAUGACCUGUCCUGAUGACAGGCCUUUAUUUUAAAUUUCUUCUAGGCAGUUAGGGGGGAAAGGUCAAACUUCUUGCUGAGUCUGAGCCUUUAUUGUCUUCAGCUCAAAAUAAUCCGUGCGCCGAGGUGGCGCAUGUUGGGGUGGCCUGCCCUGAAUCCCAUCAAUGGGAAUCCCAGAUGAAGUACAGAUUUGUAUUUUUAAAAAAGGAUUAAUUGUAACUCAUAUUUUAUAUGACUUCUUUAUUUACAAAAGGAAUAAAUUUUGUGGAAAUUUCAGCAAAAAUGAAGUGUAAAGGCUGGUGGUAACCAUUUAAUGCCCUGGGGUUGAGAAAGUAGCAUUGACUUAUGUGAAAGUUAUAUGAACUGUAGAAUCUGUUAAACCUUCCGAUCCUUUCCUUUGGGAUACACACAUAAAUUUCUAUGGAUAUUGUUGAACUUAGACUUUCUAUAACCACUGGGCAGAGGGUCAAUAUUAACUUAUUUUACUAAAAAGUUGAUCACUCAGACUUCCACAUUAAUUGGCAUUGAGUUGUGCAAAUAAAUCCAGUAAGUUUUCCAUCAUGUUCUUCCUUUGACUCGUAGGGCUUUGAAAAUCCUUCUAAGGUGCUUUGGUUCUACUUGCCUGCUCAGAAUUUAAACGAUGCUGACAAUAAGUAGUCUGAAGUUUAGGAAAGAACACACUUUGCAUAGAAAAACUUCUGAGGGGAGCAGAGAACUCAGCAAGACCCAUGAGCUUCAUUGCCAGUCCCUCGCGUGUCAACUCAGUAUUUCCUGGGGCCUCCACGUGCAGCCCUGUCUGCCUCCAUGGAUCAAGUGCCUUUCAAAACACUGCAAUUGUCUCUCUGGAAAUAAGUAGUAGGUUGUAAUUGCUUUUUGUACUUAACAACUCGGAAAAAGUUUUUGACAAAUAUCCUCAGUUCCCCAAGCCUGUCCCCCCAUGGUGGUUGCAGUGGAAAAGAUAAUUGCUGUUGUAAUUGGGAGUGAGGUCAGAGAAUCACAAACCCAUAUCUAGUGGUCUGGCUGCCUCCCUCUAAUCCAGGCACUGGCUGCCAUGAUCAGUACACUAUAUCCAGUAUCCUCGAAGAUGUCUGGUGAGGUUUUCUAUUUCAAUCUGAGAAGAAGAGUGUGCAAAGAAGGUGGGAUAUGAGGAGCCUGGGUAAGUGAUCGUGGCAGAAUGAAGGGAUUCUUCAGGCUUUGAAUCUGGUCUAGUGCCAAAGCCAGACAGGAAGGAGGAAUAAUUCUCAGGCAUUGUCUGAGGUAGUAGGAUCCUACACCAAACACUGCUGGCUCCUAAUGUAUUGUAGGGUAAUCAACUAUGACCUUGACUCUUGCUGUUUAAUACAAGUGAUAGUGAAACCUGACUUUUUAAUGUAUUAAGUACUGUUGUUCUGAAAUCAGUCUGCUCUUCAGCCUAAUUUACAGGAAUCAUAGAUGACAUUUUUAGGAUUACUGCAGGUGUGCCCACAACACCUCUGUGCUUCUAAGAAAGAAUAGGAUGAAUCUACAGGAAUCGUGUAGUCCUGUUCGGGAGUGGUGUAUCCAAAUGGCAAUUGUUGGGGUAGAAAUGUUUUUUGUGACUCUGGGUGUAUGAAGUGCUUAAUGGAGGCAGUAAUUUUUUCCUAGUGAAACCUCUGUGGUCUGUUCAUUUUAAUGAGACUGUUUUCCCUCUCAAAGAAACGGAAUCAGUACUGAGGGAAAAUAUAAAUGUAUAAUGAGGAGUUUCAGAUAGCCACAGCCAG